rnacentral:tRNA from 1 species
UGAGGAUAUAGUUUAAUAUGGGAAAACAGCUAAAUUUAUUAGUAGAAUAUGGUUCGAAACCAUAUAUUCUCAUC